rnacentral:rRNA from 1 species
UACGUAGGGAGCGAGCGUUAUCCGGAUUUAUUGGGUGUAAAGGGUGCGUAGACGGGAAAUUAAGUUAGUUGUGAAAUCCCUCGGCUUAACUGAGGAACUGCAACUAAAACUGAUAUUCUUGAGUGCAGGAGAGGAAAGUGGAAUUUCUAGUGUAGCGGUAAAAUGCGUAGAUAUUAGGAGGAACACCAGUGGCGAAGGCGACUUUCUGGACUGUAACUGACGUUGAGGCACGAAAGUGUGGGGAGCAAACAGG